rnacentral:lncRNA from 1 species
UUCGCUUGGAGAGGUGCCCGAGAUCAUGGACUAUUAAUGAAAGAUUCCUUUAGCCAAAUUGAUCAAGAAGAGGGUUAAGACAAAGAUUGUGUAUCAUACACCAUUGCAGGAAUUACCCUAAUGUCCCCCUCAUGGGAUUCCAUUGUUGUGUAUGUGUUAACAAAAAAAAUAGAAAAAGGAACAAAAGAAAAAAAAACAAAAAAAAGAAGAAAAAAAAUAAUUUGGGUAUCCUAUGAGAGGGUCGCCAACACCUGCAUCUCUUACCACAUUGCAGAUCUUCUGAGGAAGAGAUCUUUACUUAAAUGCUUUAUGCUAGGGACACUUGGGGGCAACGUUGUUCGCUUAGAGAGGUUCCCGAGAUCAUGGACUAUUAAUGAAAGAUUCCUUUAGCCAAAUUGAUCAAGAAGAGGGUUAAGACAAUCAAGUUGUCAUUCAAGUUAAUUUCUCCUUACCUAAACUGCGAGAAACAAGUCCAUAAUGCUAAGCAGCGGGUGAGAGCAGUAGUGGCAAAUUUGAAGGAGGAACGACGUCGUCAAGCUAAAAAAAAAGAGAGAAGGCAUCAAAAAGCUAGUGAUUAAGAAGAAAGAGUAUGUUGUUGAACAAAGGGCGAGUUAUAGAGUUCGAAGAGAGGCCUAAGAUCAUGGACCAUUAACGAAAGAUUUCCCUUAGCCAGAUUGAUUACAAAGAGGGUCAAUAUAAUCAAGUUGCCAACCAAGUUUAUCAUUCAGAUUAAUUUAUCCUGACCCAAAUGGUGAAAAGUAAUUUCACAAUGUUGAACAACGUGUGAAAGCAGCAGUGGCCAAACUGAAGAAGGAAGGUUAGCAUCAUGCUAAAAAGGAGACAUCAAGAAUUGAUAAUUCAAAUGAAGGAACAUGUUGUUGAACAAGGGCGAA